GCCACCAGCUACAGAGAUGGUUUUUCUGUAGGAGUUCAUGCACAUCAGAGGGUGUCCUGUGCCCCGUGGGAGCCCUGAGAGGCUCCUGGGUGGAGUCCAGCUGUGCCUCCUGCUCCACCAGAAAGACUCUGGAAAUAAUUGCUUAUCCAGAGGAUGGUGAGUAAAGCCUCUGUUUGAUCCACCUCCACACUUUAUUGAUUGUGUACACACGGAAGAGAUUGCCCUGCCCUAUAAAAACCACGGAGAGAAGGAAGCAAUCGACAGAGGCAAAUGAAGUGAGCAAUUAGUCCGAAACCCUUCAGACCAGCUUUAUUUUCAGGCAAGAUUUGAGCAGUAUGAUGCUGACACAAGGAUCUUCAGCAGUCACAAGGAUGGCCCAUGCUGGUGGCGAAGAUUUGUACAACUCUGCAGUUUUCCAUGAAGAAGGUUCACCACCCUCCACCUAUGCCAUUGUCAUGGUGUCUCUCAGUGGAAGCCUCCUGCUGCUGGUUGCCAUCAGCACGGCCAUAAGUGUUCUCCG
rnacentral:lncRNA from 12 species